rnacentral:rRNA from 1 species
AUUGAACGCUGGCGGCAGGCUUAACACAUGCAAGUCGAGCGGAGAUGAGGUGCUUGCACCUUAUCUUAGCGGCGGACGGGUGAGUAAUGCUUAGGAAUCUGCCUAUUAGUGGGGGACAACAUUCCGAAAGGAAUGCUAAUACCGCAUACGUCCUACGGGAGAAAGCAGGGGAUCUUCGGACCUUGCGCUAAUAGAUGAGCCUAAGUCGGACUAGCUAGUUGGUGGGGUAAAGGCCUACCAAGGCGACGAUCUGUAGCGGGUCUGAGAGGAUGAUCCGCCACACUGGGACUGCGACACGGCCCAGAUUCCUCCGGGAGGCAGCAGUGGGGAAUAUUGGACAAUUGGGGGAACCCUGAUCCAGCCAUGCCGCGUGUGUGAAGAAGGCCUUAUGGUUGUAAAGCACUUUAAGCGAGGAGGAGGCUACUGAGACUAAUACUCUUGGAUAGUGGACGUUACUCGCAGAAUAAGCACCGGCUAACUCUGUGCCAGCCGCCGCGGUAACAC